AGUACCCUUAAUCAGCUUUUCAGUUCAGUUUUAUUGGUUGCAGGCACAGUCAGUUAUUUCAUCCAGAAAAUCCGAGGGCCCUACAAAGCUAACCAGGUUGUUGUGGUUUGAAAAUUUAUGGCAUCAUCACCGGGGAAGGACAAUGACUGGCACAUUGACGGGCAUCUUGCUCUUCCUUGACCUGGAUUCAGCAGGAGAGAAUGUGUAAAGGGGAAGAAAAAGCUGCUUCACAUGAUUACUCUCAGCCCAUCAGCACUCCCUGCAGCCCUGCUGCCACAUGGGAUGAGCCUGACAGUAAAUUACUGCUAUGCCCAUCUGACAGAAGGAGUUUUUGAGGAAGGAGCAAGAAGUGACAUGCAAGAAGGACAGGGGAAGAGGCACAGGGGGAUGCUGUCUUCUUCCUGCACUGGAGUAACCCAUUCUGCCCACAGCCGGGCUCUGUAUUAACAUUUUCCUGAGCAUCAUUCUGGAGCUUGCAUGAUAUUACCUACUUCCACAUCAAUGUACAAGUGUGGACUCAGAGAACAAUUUCAUCCUCCAACAACUAUGAUGCCAUGAUUCUGAUCCUGCCAGCCAAGGUGGCUUAGACCCAAGUUUGAAUCCAAUUCACUGUGUAUGGGAUUUGGUUACAAAGAAAAAUCUGAAUUUGAGAUCUCUUUCUGGAAGGAUAUACAGUGUAUUAAUUAUUAGGAGACUUGUGCUUACAUAGCAAUACAGCUAUGUUUUUAAUGUAGAGUUAUCAAAAUCCAAGUUGAAAUGAUUAUCUAAUUUUCAGUCUGUAAAGGAGAAGAAAAAAGAUAUAUGGCCUUGUUUAUGCACAAAAUUGGUUUUAAAUCAAUUAAACUGGUGAAAACCCCUAAAUGAACACAUUUAAAUUGGUUUACAUCUGGCUUGUGUUAAUUUAACUUCAUUCAGUUUUCACCAAAUCAAUGCAAAUGUGUAAUUAGCUUAAUGGCUCUUGCUCUUCCAGAACAAUAGUCUUUCAUUCUCAACAAUGGGGAGCUGUUUUCAUUUCCUAUAGAUUCCAAAGGAAGCAUCGAGCUGCUUUUAUACAAUCUCUUUUACUAUUUUGCUAUUCUUUCCUUUGACUAUGUAAGGGCUGAUUCUGUGCAUUAAGUAGCCGAAAGUGACAGGCCAUGAGGGCAGGUGCAAGGUAACUCAGAGAAAGAAGCUUUUCUGCAUUUUUACAGACUCUUAUAAAAGAAUGCUCAGAGACAAAUACAGAGCAGGUCACUCGUGCUAGCUUCUGGGUAUUUUUCGGGUGUUAAUUUCUCCAUCUAAUCUCCAACAUUUGUCACUUGUCAAACAAUCCUGUGUUGCCCUUUCCCAGGCAUUCAUUCCCUUCAUUAAUUGAUGUUGGGCUUAGCUAUUUUUUUCCUGCCAAUUAAAGUAAGCAUUUCUUGCUUCAGAAUAAA